rnacentral:rRNA from 1 species
UACAGAGGUCUCAAGCGUUGUUCGGAAUCACUGGGCGUAAAGGGUGCGUAGGUGGCGUGGCAAGUCAGAUGUGAAAGCCCGGGGCUCAACCCCGGAAUUGCAUCCGAUACUGCCAUGCUAGAGUACUGAAGAGGUGACUAGAAUUCUCGGUGUAGCAGUGAAAUGCGUAGAUAUCGAGAGGAACACCGGUGGCGAAGGCGGCUAUCUGGACAGUGACUGACGCUGAGACGCGAAAGCGUGGGGAGCAAACAGG